UCUGUGUGUGAGAAAACACUCACUCCCAUAAUGAUGAAGAGCUUCGAGAGGCUGGUCAGGGACCAUAUUACCUCCAGACUCCCCUCCACACUUGACCCGUACCAGUUUGCUUACAGGCCAAACCAC